GACGAGCGCUGGCGGCGUGCCUAAUACAUGCAAGUAGAACGCUGAAGGAGGAGCUUGCUCUUCUGGAUGAGUUGCGAACGGGUGAGUAACGCGUAGGUAACCUGCCUGGUAGCGGGGGAUAACUAUUGGAAACGAUAGCUAAUACCGCAUAAGAGUAGAUGUUGCAUGACAUUUACUUAAAAGGUGCAAUUGCAUCACUACCAGAUGGACCUGCGUUGUAUUAGCUAGUUGGUGGGGUAACGGCUUACCAAGGCGACGAUACAUAGCCGACCUGAGAGGGUGAUCGGCCACACUGGGACUGAGACACGGCCCAGACUCCUACGGGAGGCAGCAGUAGGGAAUCUUCGGCAAUGGACGGAAGUCUGACCGAGCAACGCCGCGUGAGUGAAGAAGGUUUUCGGAUCGUAAAGCUCUGUUGUAAGAGAAGAACGAGUGUGAGAGUGGAAAGUUCACACUGUGACGGUAUCUUACCAGAAAGGGACGGCUAACUACGUG
rnacentral:rRNA from 1 species